rnacentral:rRNA from 1 species
UACGUAGGGGGCAAGCGUUGUCCGGAAUUAUUGGGCGUAAAGCGCGCGCAGGCGGUUUUUUAAGUCUGGUGUAUAAACCUUGGGCUCAACUUAAGGAGGCACUGGAAACUGGGGAACUGGAGUGUAGGAGAGGAAAGUGGAAUUCCACGUGUAGCGGUGAAAUGCGUAGAGAUGUGGAGGAACACCAGUGGCGAAGGCGACUUCCUGGACCUGUUCUGACGCUGAGGAGCGAAAGCGUGGGGAGCGAUCCGG